GGCUCGUUGGUCUAGGGGUAUGAUUCUUGCUUAGGGUCUUUAAAUAUGGUUUAACACCUCAAAUUUCAACCCGGGUUCAAAUCCCGGACGAGCCC